rnacentral:rRNA from 1 species
AAUGAACGCUGGCGGCAGGCCUAACACAUGCAAGUCGAACGAGGUAGCAAUACCUAGUGGCGGACGGGUGAGUAACACGUGGGAACGUACCCUUUGCUACGGAAUAGCCCUGGGAAACUGGGAGUAAUACCGUAUGAGCCCGAGAGGGGAAAGAUUUAUCGGCAAAGGAUCGGCCCGCGUUGGAUUAGGUAGUUGGUGGGGUAAUGGCCUACCAAGCCGACGAUCCAUAGCUGGUUUGAGAGGAUGAUCAGCCACACUGGGACUGAGACACGGCCCAGACUCCUACGGGAGGCAGCAGUGGGGAAUCUUAGACGAUGGGGAAACCCUGAUCUAGCCAUGCCGCGUGAUCGAUGAAGGCCUUAGGGUUGUAAAGAUCUUUCAGGUGGGAAGAUAAUGACUGUACCACCAGAAGAAGCCCCGGCUAACUCCGUGCCAGCAGCCGCGGUAAU